ACCCGGAGGCCAUCGGGGCGCUCCGGGCGGCGCCGAAGCUGUGGUCCCUCCGGAGGCGUCUUUGGGAAACGCUGGGCAGCCUCCGCUGGGUGGUACAGUGGAUAAGAAUCUGCCUGCCAAUGAAGGGGACAUGGGUUUAAUCCCUGGUCCAGGAGGAUUCCACAUGUUGCAGGGCAACAACAGCAUGCGCUGUGAUCCCAUGCGCCACGACGGAGCCCAUGUGCUGCGACUACCGAAGCCUGUGCUCCACAACUGGAGAGUAGCCCCCACUUGCUGCAACUAGAGAAAGCCCUUGAAGAGAAAGCAGCAUUGAAGAUCCAGCCCAACAAAAAUAAUAAUAAUAAUAAUGAAAAA